rnacentral:rRNA from 1 species
GAUGAACGCUGGCGGCGUGCCUAAUACAUGCAAGUCGAGCGAACAGACGAGGAGCUUGCUCCUCUGACGUUAGCGGCGGACGGGUGAGUAACACGUGUAUAACCUACCUAUAAGACUGGUAUAACUUCGGGAAACCGGAGCUAAUACCGGAUAAUAUAUUGAACCGCAUGGUUCAAUAGUGAAAUACGGUUUUGCUGUCACUUAUAGCUGGUUCCGCGCCGCAUUAGAUAGUUGUGAAGUUAACGGCUUACCAAGGCAACGAUGCGUAGCCGAGGGGAGAGGGUGAUAGGCCACACUGGAACUGAACCACGGUCAAGACUCCUACGGGAGGCAGCAGUAGGGAAUCUUACGCAAUGGGCGAAAGCCUGACGGAGCAACGCGACGUGAGUGAUGAAGGUCUUCGGAUCGUAAAAAUCUGUUAUUAGGGAAGAACAAAUGUGUAAGUAAAUAUGCACGUCUUGACGGUAACUAAUCAGAAAGCCACGGCUAACUACGUG